rnacentral:lncRNA from 1 species
AGGUAAAAUUAAAGAAAAACUGGGCCCAAGCCCCAGCUUCAUCACUCAGACAAGUCCAGUAGUGGGUCAUAUUGGCAGUUUCUAAUGGACCAUGCUUUUCGGAGCCUUUUCCGCCAAAGUCUGGUGUCAGAAGACGGUGAAUAGCAUUCGUGGGUAGCCUGGAGGGUGUGGCUUAAAGUGUCCUGCUAAACAUAUGCUAUUUCUUAGAAGGCUUGUGUUAAACGUCAUAGCUAGUUUUGAAUUCUCUGUAAAGGGUCCCUGUCAUUAUUUUUAAACGCAUCUUCUCCACUUUAUACACAUUCUGGUUAUCUUGUGUCUUCACAUCCUCCUGCAGCAUCAUAGGGAAGCCUCAUGGAUAUUAAUACUCCAUUUGAAAGAUGUAAGUACCUGUAAUCUAUAAAUGUGGAACAAAGGAUAAUCACUGGUAAGAGGAGACAAACAAGGAAUAGUCAAGAAAGGCAGAGGAGUCCAAGAAAUUACCAGGUCUUGGAAACUGAGGGAGAUUUAACAGUCAAGUGUUGCAAAAAGACCAUUGGGUUGGGUGCCUGGUAAGCCACUUAAUGUUCAAAGGAAUGAUUUCUUUGGUGAGGAGGCAAGAGCCAUGGGCAGAAUAAAUGUGGACAGAGAAGGUGAGAAUGUACAUUUAUUAUGGCAUCAGUUCCUGAAUUCCUAGGAUAUUACAAUAGGCACAAUGGUGGAAAUGAGUGAAUUGGUGUUUCCCAGCAGUAGGGAUUGAAAAGACAGGUUAAGUCUGGAGAAAUGUCAGAGUGUCACAGAGGGGACGCUCAUGUUACUAGAGCAUCAUUGACCAAACCAGGUGGAGU